UAAACUAGGCUUGAAUUGAAACGAGUGCGUUGACACGACUGUGCGUAAAGACGCAGAUGCGGAAGCAUGCGCCAGCCGUUACGGAGACAAGUAGCGAAGAUAAGCCGCGCCUAAAAAACUACAACUAGUCGGGCGAGUAAAGCGUGGUGAAAAUUCACUUCUCUUUUGGUGUGAACGCAGCAUUAGGAGGUUGACACACGAACACACACGGUGUGCCCACGGGACAUACUUUCUGCCAACGCACUCACGUAUUCUUCUUCCUCAUAUUCUGCUUCUGCUUCUUCUUCUUCCCGUUUCCGUCUUCGUCUUCUUCUUCCUUUGGUUUUGCUUUUGUUUUCUUCUUAUCUUCUUGGCGGUAGAUAAUCGAAAAUCGGCGCGUUGGCGCCAUCAGCUGGUGAGGAGUGGAUCACGAGGUCUGGUUCAAUGAAUGUGAGAUGUUGAAGUGAUUGACUGUGGCCAGCGAAGCUGAGCCAAACUCCUUGUAAUCUCACAUACUUAUUAUUAUUAUUCUCUAUUAUUCUCCUUCCGUACAGAAGUUUGGCACACAAGGUAACGACCCCAUCCUCACCAUCGUUGACCGCUUCUCUAAGAAUGUUAAUUUUGUGGCUCUGCCCAAGUUACCCACCGCCCGUGAGACUGCCAACCUCUUGGUGCACAAUGUUUUUUGCCUGCAUGGAAUACCACUGGACAUUGUCUCAAAUCGUGGACUCCAAUUCGCCGUUCAGGUAUGGAGAUCAUUCUGUCAAGCUCUUGGUGCCACUGUCAGUCUCUCCUGGUUUUCACCCACAGACGAAUGGCCAGUCGGAGAGAGCCAAUCAGGACCUGGAGGCUGCGCUGCGGUGUGUAACCGCUACCAAUCCCACUGCCUGGAGCGCAUAACUCAAAUGGAUCGAAUACGCCCAUCAUUCCCUGACCAGCACUGCCACAGUGGAGAAGAUAAUUAACCUUACAGCUCUCCGAAGGAAACUGCCUCGUACCAUGAGGGUCCAUUCCAUGCAUCACAUUUGAAACCAGUGUCCACCAGCCCACGGAUUCAUCCGGACAAGCCCGGCGGGUCGCCUGGAGGCUUCCGUUGACGGGGAGGUAUUGUCGUGGUCUGGGCGGUGCCCCUCCCACCAAUUGACCGGCACAGCUGGAAGGAGUUUCACUAAUCACGCUCCAGGCUUUAUAUUCUCCAACCUUCCAGUUCCCUGCCACUCACAUUCUAGAGUCAGCCUGCUCCAGCCAGCUCCAGCCUGCCGACCAUUCCCCCCGCCUGCUCUCAACAUUGUAACCCCUGGUUCUCUAUAAAUAAAGACUGUUGAACCUUUU